rnacentral:rRNA from 1 species
AUGUUCGCAGAGACAGUGUGCAAAAUUUAUAAGGAAGGAGAUAUCAUAUGGUGCCAUGACUACCAUUUGAUGUGCCUUCCCAAGUUGCUGAAGCAGUAUAAUAUCAACAUGAAGGUAGGCUGGUUCCUGCACACGCCAUUUCCCUCAUCCGAGAUGUACCGUGCACUGCCGAACCGUGCGGACUUGUUGGAGGCGGUGCUUAAAGCUGACUUAGUGGGGUUUCAUGCGUAUGAUUAUGCAAGGCAUUUUGUGAGUGCUUGCAUUAGCCUGCUUGGGCUUGAGGGUUGCCUUGAGGGUAUUCAGUUUGACGGAAGGAUUGUCAAGGUGGAUGCUUUUCCGAUCGGGAUAGACGCUCAGCGUUUUACAAAAGCAUUGGAGGAUCCCAAAGUGAAAGACAAAAUUACCGAAUUCAAGAAACUUUUUGCUGGCCGAAAGGUAAUACUUGGUGUGGACCGGCUAGACAUGAUUAAAGGAUUCCUGCAAAAGUUGUUGGCCUUUGAGAAAUUUCUUGAGAAAAACGAGGAACUGGAUUCUGAAUACAAAGUGGUUCUACUGCAGAUUGCAGUGCCAACCAGAAGUGACGUACCCGAAUAUCGGAAGCUAGCAAGUCAAGUGCAUGAACUGGUUGCACGUGUAAAUGGUCGAUUCGGAACACUGAAAGCAACUCCUAUUCUACACCUGGAUCAAACCGUCGAUUUUGAUUCAUUGUGUGCUCUUUAUGCAAUCACUGAUGUAGCUCUGAUAACAUCACUGAGAGAUGGAAUGAAUCUUGUAAGCUAUGAAUAUGUUGCCUGUCAAGAAUCAAAUAAAGGUGUUCUGAUACUGAGUGAGUUUGCAGGGGCAGCGCAAUCUCUUGGGGCUGGUGCUAUUAUUGUAAACCCAUGGGAUAUCGUGGAAGUAGCAGACGCAAUAAAACGUGCUUUGGAUAUGCCAACUGAAGAAAGGGAGAAGAACCACAGGCAUAAUUAUGAUCUUGUGUCAAGACACAUCGCACAAGACUGGGCCGAAAACUAUGUCUGCGACCUACAUAAUGCAACUAGUAAAGCUCCGCUACCAGCAAUACACACUGCCGUCCUCCCUAUUGGAGAAGCAGCUGCACAAUAUGGAAAAUCCAACAAUCGUUUUCUCAUAUUGGGUUUCAAUGCAACAUUGACUGGUCAGGUCCAAUUUGUAGAGGGAAGGACUGACAUUGAACUCAAGUUGAACCCUGAGUUAAAGCAACCACUGAAAACACUUUGUGAUAAUGAGAAUACAACUGUCGUUGUUGUCAGUGGAUAUGGCAGAAGUAUUCUCGAUGAAAAUUUUGCAGAUUAUAAAUUGUGGUUAGCGGCAGAGAAUGGGAUGUUCUUACCGCAACCUGGUGAAGAAUGGAUAACCACGAGAUAUGAACAGGAGGAAAUCAGCUGGGCUGGCAGUGUAAAGAAAGUGUUUGAGUACUUCACCCAAAGAACCCCGAGGUCUAAUUUUGAACAGCGUGAAACAUCACUUGUUUGGAACUAUAAGUAUGCAGAUGUUCAGUUUGGGAGAAAUCAAGCGACAGAUCUGCUGCAGCAUUUGGGGGCAUAUUCAUUAUCAAAUCAAAGCGCUGUUAUCGUUCAAGGCAGUCGGUCAAUUGAAGUUCGUCCUACGGGAGUCACCAAGGGUAAAGCCGUUGAUGAAAUUAUUCGCGAGUUAGAUCUCAGAAAUAUCAUGGCUACUCCAAUCGACUAUGUCUUGUGCAUUGGUCAUUUCCUUGCAAAGGAUGAAGAUAUUUAUACCUUACCCAGCUUUGAUGUUCAACCUGGAGCGAAAAGAAAGGGAAAGGGGUGUCAAGCAGAGGAUUGCUCAAGCGUCAAGUUUGACCUGAACCAUAAGAACUAUUUCUCAUGCACCGUUGGUAGGGAACACUCUGUAGCACGGUACAAUCUCAAGGGAACAAGCGAAGUUGUGUCCCUACUACAGGAUCUUGCAGCAGCUGCUGCUCCAGGUAACAUGAGUCACCCACCAUAG